GCGGGAGUGGUGGAAUCGGUAGACACGCAGGAUUUAGGUUCCUGUGCCUUCGGGCGUGAGGGUUCAAGUCCCUCCUUCCGCA
rnacentral:tRNA from 1 species